ACGCUGGCGGCGUGCUUAACACAUGCAAGUCGAACGAGAGCGUAGAGAAAGCUUGCUUUUUCUACAAUCUAGUGGCAAACGGGUGAGUAACGCGUAAACAACCUGCCCUACGGAUGGGGACAACAGCUGGAAACGGCUGCUAAUACCGAAUACGUUCCGGAAGUCGCAUGACUAUCGGAAGAAAGGAUGGCCUCUAUUUAUAAGCUAUCGCCGGAGGAGGGGUUUGCGUCUGAUUAGCUAGUUGGAGGGGUAACGGCCCACCAAGGCGACGAUCAGUAGCCGGUCUGAGAGGAUGAACGGCCACAUUGGAACUGAGACACGGUCCAGACUCCUACGGGAGGCAGCAGUGGGGAAUCUUCCGCAAUGGGCGAAAGCCUGACGGAGCAACGCCGCGUGAGUGAAGACGGCCUUCGGGUUGUAAAGCUCUGUUAUACGGGACGAAUAAUCUUGUGGUUAAUACCCAUGAGAAGUGACGGUACCGUAAGAGAAAGCCACGGCUAACUACGUGCCAGCAGCCGCGGUAAUACGUAGGUGGCAAGCGUUGUCCGGAAUUAUUGGGCGUAAAGGGCGCGCAGGCGGCUUCUUAAGUCUGUCUUAAAAGUGCGGGGCUUAACCCCGUGAUGGGAUGGAAACUGGGAAGCUCAGAGUAUCGGAGAGGAAAGCGGAAUUCCUAGUGUAGCGGUGAAAUGCGUAGAUAUUAGGAGGAACACCAGUGGCGAAAGCGGCUUUUCUGGACGAAAACUGACGCUGAGGCGCGAAAGCCAGGGGAGCGAACGGGAUUAGAUACCCCGGUAGUCCUGACCGUAAACGAUGGGUACUAGGUGUAGGAGGUAUCGACCCCUUCUGUGCCGGAGUUAACGCAAUAAGUACCCCGCCUGGGGAGUACGGCCGCAAGGUUGAAACUCAAAGG
rnacentral:rRNA from 1 species